rnacentral:lncRNA from 1 species
CCAAGAAUCACAAAUAUUGCUUCUUUUCCUAUUAACUUUUUACCCCUCCAGAGUGGUCCUCUUGGUCUUCCAUCAUGGUAAAAUCUCACAACCCCUAAGAAACUUCUAGAAAACUGUGGGACCCAUGAUGUGGAACAAGAAUAAGAAGCUAAGUUUGAAGAGAUUUUUGGUAAUGGAGAAACAACUGAAAGGUGUUUAACUGAAACCAAUGAGGUGGAACAAGAAGAAGAGGCUAAGUUUGAGGAGAUUUUUUGCACUGGAGAAACAACUAAAAGGCGCUUAAGGAGAAAUAAAGAUGAGAUUUUUA